rnacentral:rRNA from 1 species
AAGUGGGGAUGACGUCAAAUCAUCAUGCCCCUUAUGUACUGGGCUACACACGUGCUACAAUGGUUGGUACAACGAGUUGCGAGUCGGUGACGGCGAGCUAAUCUCUUAAAGCCAAUCUCAGUUCGGAUUGUAGGCUGCAACUCGCCUACAUGAAGUCGGAAUCGCUAGUAAUCGCGGAUCAGCACGCCGCGGUGAAUACGUUCCCGGGCCUU